AGAGUUUGAUCCUAGCUCAGGAUGAAUGCUAGCGGCGUGGAUAAGGCAUGCAAGUCAAGGGGUCCGCAAGGACACCGGCAGACGAGGUAGUAAUACGCAGGUACGCACCGAAGAGUCGGGCAUAGCUCGCCGAAAGGCGGGGUAAUUUCCGAUGGUGAGGCAACUCUAAAGUAGCAAUACGCUCUUUGAGCGGCCUGCGGGACAUCAGGUAGUUGGUAGGGUAACGGCCUACCAAGCCUACGACGUCUAGGGGAGCUGAGAGGCUGACCCCCACCGAUGGGACUGAGACACGGCCCAUACAUCUACGGAUGGCUGCAGUCGAGAAUAUUUGGCAAUGGGCGAAAGCCUGACCAUGCGACGCCGCGUGCUGGACGAAGUCCUUCGGGACGUAAACAGCUUUUAUGCGUGAAGAAGUAAUUGACAUUAGCGCAUGAAUAAGGGGCUCCUAACUCUGUGCCAGCAGGAGCGGUAAUACAGAGGCCCCAAGCAUUAUCCGGAAUCACUGGGCGUAAAGGGUGUGUAGGCGGCGAUAUUAGUCUUUUGUAAAAGCUCUGGGGCUUAACCCCGGAACUGCGAGAGAAACGGUAUUGCUUGAGGACGCGAGAGGUAGAGGGAACUCAUGGUGUAGGGGUGAAAUCCGUUGAUAUCAUGGGGAACACCAAAUGCGAAGGCACUCUACUGGCGCGCACCUGACGCUGAAACACGAAAGCGUGGGGAUCGAACGGGAUUAGAUACCCCGGUAGUCCACGCCCUAAACGAUCAUAACUGGCUUUGCGGAGUAUCGACCCUCUGCGAGGCGAAGCUAACGCGUUAAGUUAUGCGCCUGGGUAGUACGAUCGCAAGAUUAAAACUCAAAGGAAUAGACGGGGACUUGCACAAGCGGUGGAUCAUGCGGCUCAAUUCGAUGGCAAACGAAGAACCUCACCAGGGUUUGCACCCAGACGACCGGCUAGGAAACUAGUCUUCCGCAAGGCGGCUGGGCAGUUGAUGCAUGGUCGUCGUCAGUUCGUGGCUUGAGUUGUUCCCUUCAGUGGGGUAACGAACGCAACCCGCGUUGCCUGUUUUAUAUCUCAGGCGAGACUGCCCUCUCACGAGGGAGGAAGGUGCGGAUGACGCCAGAUCAGCAUGUCCCUCUGAUAUCCUGGGCUGCACGCAUGAUACAAUGGGCGCAACAACGAGACGCAAUACGGUAACGUGGAGCAAAUCUUGAAAUGCGCCCCCAGUUCGGAUUGAGGUCUGCAACUCGACCUCAUGAAGCCGGAAUCGCUAGUAAUCGCGGGUCAGCUAUACCGCGGUGAAUACGUUCUCAAGUCUUGUACUCACCGCCCGUCAACUCAAGGGAGCCGGGAAUACCCGAAGCACAUCGCAAGAUGUAUCACGGUAAGUUCGGUGACAGGGAGUAAGUCGUAACAAGGCACGGGUAGCGGAAGCUGCUCGUG
rnacentral:rRNA from 1 species